UGGGUUUUAUAGAAUAGAAUAGAAUAGAAUAGAAUAGAAUAGAAUAGAAUAGAAUAGAAUAGAAAAACACUUUAUUCAUCCCCUAGGGGAAGACAUCAGCAUAACACAUCAACAUAAUCAACAAAAUCAACAAAAUAAACGGUGCAAAAGGAAAGAGAAGACUGGAAAUAGACUCAUGUGUAAAUACAUUCAAGGGCGAGGGGCGGGGCUUGUAGCUUGCAUGUGACUUCACGCUAGUCUCUAAUUGGUCACUUAAAGAGUCGGCCCUGGCCAAUCAGCAUCUCUUUCUUCGUCCAAUCUGAUUGAUUAGUGAUACCUGUCAAUCAAAGUCAUACCGUGCUUCGCCUUGAUGCGCAUGCGCAACCGCAACUGACCGCUUCCGUCAGUUGCGGACAUUUGACGAGUGAUUCUCUGGAUGUAAAAAAAAAAAAAAAAAAGGCGGAUUAAGGAGUUUGGACCGAACCAACAAAACUUAAACAUCAGGCAAGUGACCGUGAACGGAGUUCACCCGCUUCUCCCGCUGCUGUUACCCGAACACAGCUGGCUAGGCUAGCUAGGCUAGCUAGCUGGAUGUAAGCACUGACUACAUUACCGUUUCCAUGGAGACUGAAUGAUGAUGAAGACAUCAUUGUUAAUCAGAGAAGAUUAUUGAUGAAGAGGAGCAUCACAUCUACUGGGAGUAAAACAGAAGAAGAAAGGGGAGAAGGAGGUGAAGAUUGAGGAAGAGGAGGAGGAAGACGAAGGAGACGAGGAAGAUGAAGAAGACAGAGAGAAAGAAAGGUGGGAGAAGAAGGAGGAUUUCUCUCUAUCUUUACUAUAUCUUGAAACUGUCACUGUAUGGGAACAAUUGCAAAGAAACAAUUCACCUGAAGGAUCAAUAAAAUCUUCUGAUUGUGGAAAAAACAGAAUGCAAACAAAUAUGUGAUUAGAUGGCCAAUGUAUGUGUUUACAAUAGACAGUGGAAGGAGAGACAAAGGGGAAAGUCACAGAGAAAUGAAGAAAGUAAAAAAAAAAAUGGCCUCAAGUCUAAUCCAGAAAGAUGAUUUAUUUUAUUAGACCUCAGUGAUUCUAAAUCCUCACUUCAGAUUUUCCUGUGAAGGACACUGAAGUUGAAAUGUUUUGACAAGAUCUGAACAUCAUGAAUUUAUGAUGGUGCCACUCUCAGGACAAACUUUGUCAAAUUUUUUGAAAUUCUCCAACUCAAGUGGUUGACAUGUGUAAAGUAAAAUAUUGUUUCACCGAC